rnacentral:rRNA from 1 species
GCCACUGCUAUUGGGGUUCGGCUAAGCCAUGCGAGUGGAGGGCGUCCCGCAAGGGAUGGCUCCGCAGACGGCUCAGUAACACGUCGUCAACCCACCUUAGGGUGGGGGACAACCUCGGGAAACUGAGGAUAAUCCCCCAUAGGCGGGGGAGGCUGGAAUGCGCCCCCGCUGAAAGCUCAGGCGCCCUAGGACGGGACGGCGGCCUAUCAGGUAGUUGGUGGUGUGACG